CACAUUUGUGACUGGAUGUUUCCAAAAAGAGAGAAAGUUAAAAUGCUAAGUGGGAGCCUCCCCUCCCUCAAAACCGUGCCCUUGCUGCUGGCCGGGAUUGACAGCCUUACUGGGUUCUUUCUCCCAGGCCAGGAGAAGUGUGGACAGUGCAGUAUUCUGUUGGAAUCCGGAGGAGUUGGUUGGUUAUAGUAAGGAACAACAGUUGUCUUCAUACUGUUAAAAUAAAAGCCAGAUUCCCUGGAGUCUUCACAAGAGAAAAUAACUGCUCUCCUUUGCUAACCUCCGUGACCAGCCCAAGCCUACGUGUCGGGGGAGACGGCCUGGGUCUGUUUUUGUGAUGAUCAUUACUCCUGUCCUGGGACUCAGGUGAGCGUCCAGGGAGAAGGGAAGAGAAAUUUAAACCUGGAGCUAUCUCCUAAUGGAAAACAGGAAACCAAAAAAAAGAAGCGAAUGAAUUCCCUUCUUUGUGACCCUCUGUAAAAGUCAUCAAACUCACACUCUUCUCACCAGACACAGGAGUUCCAUGAGCCGAGACGAGAACGUUCCGGUCUGUUACGACUAAUCAUGGCAGCCUCUCCCCAACAGGGAGGAUAAUUUGGCAGUGGUGGGAUUUCCCCUCAAAUUAUAUUCUUCGGGUACAGUUUUUAAAAAACGUUUCCUCUCCCGUUGGUAAUCUGCUUUAUCUUUUGUUGCUUGACCUACAAGAGCGAAUCUGUUGUCAUGAUGGAUAGUAUAUGUCAACAUUUGGAAUCAUAGUUGGAAUGAUAGCUAUUUCAUGUGUUAGGAUUAACGUACCCACAAUUUGUGACAUGCAGUAAAGAAUCAAGUAAGUUCUCGGGAUCAGGGAAGAGGAGCU
rnacentral:lncRNA from 1 species